rnacentral:sRNA from 1 species
AUUUGAAAUGUUUUAAGCCAUUAUUUAAAGACGUUUACUAUAAUUCGUUAACAGUGAGCAUCUUUAAUUUUCUAGUUCGCGGCUUCCCUUUUCCCCCGUUUUCGAACUAAAGCUGAAAGCGCCCUCUCUUGGAUGUUCAUGCAAGCAAUCAUUCUCGAUAGCGUUCAGUUGCGAAGUGCUCAGAUUUGUUAAAAGUUAACUUAAGUGGUGUUUUUUUAAUCAAUUGCGAUUCGCCAAUUGCAAGUGCAAGUGCAUAGACAAAACGGGCAAAGACAAGGUUAGCCGCUGAAAAAGCCGUCUUGGCUUUAAAUCAAAACAAGUGCAGCGAAAAAGGCAAACAAGAAAACCAACAACACUGCACAGAACAAAUUUGCAGAUACCGGCGGAUUCAACGCGCACCGCACACGCCUGACAACAACAACAACAUCAACAAGAACAGC